CCUGGGUUCACGCCAUUCUCCUGUUUCAGCCUCCAGGUAGCUGGGCCUACCGGCGCCCGCCACCACGCCCGGCUAAUUUUUUGUAUUUUUAGUAGAGACGGGGUUUCACCGUGUUAGCCAGGAUGGUCUCGAUCUCCUGACCUGGUGAUCCGCCCGCCUCGGCCUCCCAAAGUGCUGAGAUUACAGGCGUGAGCUACCGCGCCCCGCCAAGUGAGUAAAUUUUCUAUUGGGCACAGAGUUACCUGCUAAAAUGAAGUGUGGAAAAAUACAAUGGGGUGUGUGUAUGUGAGAGAGAGAGGGAGAUUUGGAGGUGGGGUGGGGAAGACCCUAUUUGAAGUGGGCUUUGAAGAAUGAACAAGAUUUUUAUUAGGGAACAAAAUGGAAACCAGCAUUCCAGGACAAGCGUCUCAGGAGAAGCAAAAGCGCAGAGUUGUGAAAGCUCUUAGAUUUUCAGAACUUUGAAUUCUGAACUAUAUAUAAACCUGGAAAAUCUCGGUUAACUAUGGGAUGGCAUCAAGAUUUCAAUUUCAAGCUUUCUGGUCAUGCACAGUAAAGCUGGAAUUAGAGUCUCUUACGUAUGGCAGUUGUUGACAAGUCCGUACAGGUACCUAAGUGCUUCCCAGAAAAUUCCUCAAGUUGGUAGGUCCUGGGGGAAUCAGUUUAGUUCUAAAGAGAGGACUCAUCAGAGAUCUGUU
rnacentral:lncRNA from 10 species